GACAGAGGGUGCAAACGUUGUUCGGAAUUACUGGGCGUAAAGCGAGUGUAGGCGGUGUGGUAAGUCGGAUGUGAAAGCCCCGGGCUCAACCCGGGAAGUGCACUCGAUACUGCCACGCUAGAGUAUCGGAGAGGUUGGUGGAAUUCUCGGUGUAGAGGUGGAAUUCGUAGAUAUCGGGAGGAACACCAGUGGCGAAGGCGGCGAUCUGGGAAGAUACUGACGCUGAGGUGCGAAAGCGUGGGGAGCAAACAGG
rnacentral:rRNA from 1 species